ensembl:rRNA 5S_rRNA 5S ribosomal RNA
GUCUAUGGUCAUGUCACCCUGAACAAGCUCCUCUGAACAAGCCGAUUGGCUGGUCUCAGAAGCUAAGCAGGGUCCGGCCUGGUUAGUACUUGGUUGGGAAACCACCUAGGAAGACCAGGUACUGUAGGCA